CAACAGGCUCUUUUCAGAGCCAAUUGUUUCCUUAGGAGACCUU
rfam:Amphimedon queenslandica AMPQTscaffold_8844_Cont19216, whole genome shotgun sequence.